rnacentral:rRNA from 1 species
GUGGGGAAUAUUGCGCAAUGGCCGCAAGGCUGACGCAGCGACGCCGCGUGUGGGAUGAAGGCCUUCGGGUUGUAAACCACUGUUGGGGGGGACGAAUGCCCCGCAAGGGGAUUGACGGUACCUCCAGAGGAAGCACCGGCUAACUCCGUGCCAGCAGCCGCGGUAAUACGGAGGGUGCAAGCGUUGUCCGGAAUCACUGGGCGUAAAGGGCGCGUAGGCGGCUCGAUAAGUCGGUUGUGAAAUCCCGGGGCUCAACUCCGGGGCUGCAUCCGAGACUGUCAGGCUCGAGCAUGGUAGAGGCGAGUGGAAUUCCCGGUGUAGCGGUGGAAUGCGUAGAGAUCGGGAAGAACACCAGUGGCGAAGGCGGCUCGCUGGGCCAAUGCUGACGCUGAGGCGCGAAAGCGUGGGGAGCAAACAGGAUUAGAAACCCCAGUAGUCC